ensembl:lncRNA
CCCCAGCCAACUGAGCAACCCCCGCCUGCUGUGUUGCCAUAACAUUGUGGCUGCCGCUCUGAUGCCACAGUGAUGGGAUGGGGGAGUCACCAGUCCAUCUCACUGAUGGGCUGUGAGCUCCCUGAGAUCAGAAAAUGAAAUGAAAAUCGCAGAACACCAAGGGGCUGAGGACCUGGCCUGAAAAAGUGUUGCUUUUCCUUCUUUCCUAUCUGACGCCAGCCCACCUCUCAACUCGACGUGACCUGCCUCCAGCCUUCUCCCAAAGAAAAUAAACCACCACAAAAAUCAAUGUCCAGGUGAAGGCACAGCUGAGCUUGCGAGAAGGACGGAAACUGCCCCCUCUACAGGGUGGUGUGGCCCAAAUGAAGCCGGAUAUGAAGACUCCCAGGUGGUCAGUGGAAGCAUGCAGACUUUAAGUCUAUGAGGCCAAGGGGCGUUUCCAAGCCCUGCACCAAGAGGCUUGGAUGUCGACCCCUCCCUGGAAGCUGAAGGCGUGGCCUGUGG